rnacentral:rRNA from 2 species
GGUUAAGUUAGAAAGGGCGCACGGUGGAUGCCUUGACACUAGGAGUCGAUGAAGGACGGGACUAACGCCGAUAUGCUUCGGGGAGCUGUAAGUAAGCUUUGAUCCGAAGAUUUCCGAAUGGGGAAACCCACCAUACGUAAUGGUAUGGUAUCCUUAUCUGAAUACAUAGGGUAAGGAAGACAGACCCAGGGAACUGAAACAUCUAAGUACCUGGAGGAAGAGAAAGCAAAUGCGAUUUCCUGAGUAGCGGCGAGCGAAACGGAACAUAGCCCAAACCAAGAGGCUUGCCUCUUGGGGUUGUAGGACAUUCUAUACGGAGUUACAAAGGAACGAGGUAGACGAAGCGACCUGGAAAGGUCCGUCGUAGAGGGUAACAACCCCGUAGUCGAAACUUCGUUCUCUCUUGAAUGUAUCCUGAGUACGGCGGAACACGUGAAAUUCCGUCGGAAUCUGGGAGGACCAUCUCCCAAGGCUAAAUACUCCCUAGUGAUCGAUAGUGAACCAGUACCGUGAGGGAAAGGUGAAAAGCACCCCGGAAGGGGAGUGAAAGAGAUCCUGAAACCGUGUGCCUACAAAUAGUCAGAGCCCGUUAACGGGUGAUGGCGUGCCUUUUGUAGAAUGAACCGGCGAGUUACGAUCCCGUGCGAGGUUAAGCUGAAGAGGCGGAGCCGCAGCGAAAGCGAGUCUGAAUAGGGCGUUUAGUACGUGGUCGUAGACCCGAAACCAGGUGAUCUACCCAUGUCCAGGGUGAAGUUCAGGUAACACUGAAUGGAGGCCCGAACCCACGCACGUUGAAAAGUGCGGGGAUGAGGUGUGGGUAGCGGAGAAAUUCCAAUCGAACCUGGAGAUAGCUGGUUCUCCCCGAAAUAGCUUUAGGGCUAGCCUUAAGUGUAAGAGUCUUGGAGGUAGAGCACUGAUUGGACUAGGGGUCCUCAUCGGAUUACCGAAUUCAGUCAAACUCCGAAUGCCAAUGACUUAUCCUUAGGAGUCAGACUGCGAGUGAUAAGAUCCGUAGUCAAAAGGGAAACAGCCCAGACCGCCAGCUAAGGUCCCAAAGUGUGUAUUAAGUGGAAAAGGAUGUGGAGUUGCUUAGACAACUAGGAUGUUGGCUUAGAAGCAGCCACCAUUUAAAGAGUGCGUAAUAGCUCACUAGUCGAGUGACUCUGCGCCGAAAAUGUACCGGGGCUAAAUACACCACCGAAGCUGCGGAUUGAUACC